GAAGUCUUAGCUUAAUUAAAGCAUUUGAGUUGCAUUCAGAAGAUGUUAGUAUUUAACAGACUUUC
rnacentral:tRNA from 1 species